rnacentral:tRNA from 1 species
UGGAAAGUAAGCUAAAAAAGCUGUUGGGCUCAUAUCUCAAAUAUAACUGAAAGUUCUUUCUAU